GACAGAGGUCCCGAGCGUUAUGCGGAAUCACUGGGCUUAAAGCGCGUGUAGGCGGAUGCCUAAGUACGUUGUGAAAUCCCACGGCUCACCCGUGGAACUGCUCGGUAUACUGGGUGUCUUGAGCCACUUAGGGGCUACCGGAACACAUGGUGGAGCGGUGAAAUGCGUAGAUAUCAUUUGGAACGCCAGUGGUGAAGACAGGUAGCUGGGAGUGUGCUGACGCUGAGACGCGAAAGCCAGGGGAGCAAACGGG
rnacentral:rRNA from 1 species